AUGGCCACUCUCGUGUUCGACGCGGCGGUCCUCAGCCGGAAGGACGACAUCCCGCCGCAGUUCGUCUGGCCAGCCGACGAGGCCCCGUCCGUCCACGGCGUGGAGGAGAUCGCCGUCCCGGUCGUCGACAUCGCCGGGUUCCUGGCGGGCGACGGCGCUGCCACUGGCGGCCUCCGUGACCUGGCCGCCGCGUGCGAGAAGCACGGGUUCUUCCAGGUCGUGAACCACGGAGUGGACCCGGCGCUGCUCGCCAAGGCGUACCGGUGCUGCGACGCCUUCUACGCGCUGCCGCUCGCCGAGAAGCAGCGCGCGCAGCGCCGCCUCGGCGAGAACCACGGGUACGCCGGCAGCUUCGUGGGGCGGUUCGGCAGCAAGCUCCCCUGGAAGGAGACCGUGUCCUUCAACUGCUCCGCCGCGCCGGAGGGCGCCCGCAAGGUCGUCGACUACUUCGUCGCCGUCCUCGGCGAGGAGUACCGUGACAUGGGAGAGGUGUGGCAGGAGUACUGCGACGAGAUGACGCGCCUGGCGCUGGACGUCACGGACGUCCUGGCGGCGUGCCUGGGCCUCGGCCGCGGCGCGCUGCGGGGCUUCUUCGCCGGCGACGCCUCCCUGAUGCGGCUGAACCACUACCCGCCGUGCCAGCAGCCGCACCUGACGCUGGGCACGGGCCCGCACCACGACCCGACGUCGCUGACGCUGCUCCACCAGGACGACGUCGGCGGGCUGGAGGUGUUCACCGGCGGCGCGUGGCGCGCCGUGCGGCCCCGGGGCGACGCCUUCGUCGUCAACAUCGGCGACACCUUCUCCGCGCUCACCAACGGGCGCCACAUCAGCUGCCUCCACCGCGCCGUCGUCAACAGCAGCCUGGCCCGCAGGUCGCUCACCUUCUUCCUCAACCCGCAGCUGGACUGCCCCGUUGCGCCGCCGGCCGAGCUGCUCGCCAUCGACGGCCGCCCGCGCGCGUACCCGGACUUCACUUGGCGUGAGUUCCUCGAGUUCACGCAGAAGCACUACCGCUCUGACUGGAGGACCCUGGAUGCCUUCGCCGCGUGGAUCAAUCAGGGCCGCAAAGGAUAG
rnacentral:rRNA from 1 species